UGAGGAAUAUUGGUCAAUGGACGCAAGUCUGAACCAGCCACGUCGCGUGAAGGAAGACGGCCCUAUGGGUUGUAAACUUCUUUUGUAAGGGAAUAAAGUGCAGUACGUGUACUGUUUUGCAUGUACCUUACGAAUAAGGAUCGGCUAACUCCGUGCCAGCAGCCGCGGUAAUACGGAGGAUCCGAGCGUUAUCCGGAUUUAUUGGGUUUAAAGGGUGCGCAGGCGGGAGAUUAAGUCGGCGGUGAAAUUUUGCAGCUUAACUGUAAAAGUGCCAUCGAUACUGGUUUCCUUGAGUGUAGAUGAAGUAGGCGGAAUUUGUGGUGUAGCGGUGAAAUGCAUAGAUAUUGCACAGAACACCGAUUGCGAAGGCAGCUUACCAAGCUAUUAUUGACGCUGAGGCACGAAAGCGUGGGGAUCGAACAGG
rnacentral:rRNA from 1 species